UACAGAGACCUCAAGCGUUAUCCGGAUUUAUUGGGCGUAAAGCGUGUGUAGGUGGAUCCGUUAGUCGUCCGUCAAAAUAUCGGGCUCAACCCGAUACCUGCGGACGAAACGGCGGGUCUAGAGAGCGUGAGGGACCACUGGAACUCAUGGUGUAGUAGUGAAAUGCGUUGAUAUCAUGGGGAACACCAAAGGCGAAGGCAUGUGGUUGGUACGCUUCUGACACUCAGACACGAAAGCGUGGGUAGCGAAUGGG
rnacentral:rRNA from 1 species